rnacentral:rRNA from 1 species
CAAGUCGAACGGCAAGCACGGGAGCAAUCCUGGUGGCGAGUGGCGAACGGGUGAGUAAUAUAUCGGAACGUGCCCGGUCGUGGGGGAUAACGUAGCGAAAGCUACGCUAAUACCGCAUACGAUCUACGGAUGAAAGCGGGGAUCGCAAGACCUCGCGCGAUUGGAGCGGCCGAUAUCAGAUUAGGUAGUUGGUGAGGUAAAGGCUCACCAAGCCGACGAUCUGUAGCUGGUCUGAGAGGACGACCAGCCACACUGGGACUGAGACACGGCCCAGACUCCUACGGGAGGCAGCAGUGGGAAUUUUGGACAAUGGGCGCAAGCCUGAUCCAGCAAUGCCGCGUGCAGGAUGAAGGCCUUCGGUUGUAACUGCUUUGUACGGAACGAAACGGUGAGCUCUAAUACAGUUUGCUAAUGACGGUACCGUAAGAAUAAGCACCGGCUAACUACGUG